CACUGGCAGCGCACAUGAACUAGGUAUAAAGGGCAACCUCCAUGGAGCGAAUUUUUGCAACGAAGUUCGCGCGUCAGACUGCCACGCGCAUUCCGACGCCAGUUGUUCGCCGGCACCAGCUCCAUGGAGCGAAAAACCAGCGGACGGCGUCGGGAAGUCAUGCUGUGAUGUCACUGUUGCCAGGGUAUAAGGGAAUGCCUCACGUUCUAAUGAUGCAGUUGGCGAAACAGCGAGCAGACGACAGCAUCCAGUUGCAAGAAGAGGACGAUGACGAUGAUUCACGAGAGCAGACGACCACGUGCAGGCGAUCUGGCGUAGAUCGUAGCGGAAGAGCACUUUGAUUGGUUCAUCUGCAGUUGACGCUUCCGGAAUCGCGGACGCUGGGCGAAAAUAUCUGGCAUGGGCAGAUCGGCGGCGGACGCUCACAUUUUUGACGCCUCGCGCAGGGCGUCCGACGCUGAGCGAAGUUCGCAGCUUUUUCGCUGUACAUUCGCUCCAUGGAGGUUGCCCUUAACGUGACAGCCGACACGUCAGGGUGUCACGUGGCUUUAGCACAAAUACUUGGCGGCAGAUUAAAUAGUUCAAUAUCCAGACAAGCAGGCUGCUUUCAAAAAAACGUUUACUCCGAAAAUAACUACACACGUGAAUACUAAGCGUGUUGUCGUAGCUCAACGAGAACUCGCAUGGUGUGCGGCAAUCGCGUGCUGUCCAAUGUCACUUGCCCGGCUUCAGGCGUGCUUUGGAUAGGCCGCUCAGCACACCACUCAUUCUAGUCCACUGUACUUGAACCCUUGGAUUAUGUCACGGAAAUGUUUUCUUUCCAGGCUAUGGGCGACAGACGCCGCCGUAUCACUGAGAGAUAGCGAUAACGCACGUGAGAGCCUCGCAAAGUGGGUUGACGCCGACAGCUCGUUUUCUUUUUCUUUUGGUUUCGUCAAUGAUUCUUCUUUCCCAUUCUUCAGCUAACCAAGUCUUCCGUACCUCCGAACCACGAAACGUGUCCUGGGAAUUAAGGCCAGUGGGCUGACACCCUACUAACUGCUCCACCGAUGCCGCAAAUGAUAGAGUCUAGGAGGACGGCAGAGUGUCCCGACGUCGUCAGCGAUGUUUGAAAAGCGCGCGCUCAAGAGAAGGCGGAGAGGAUAAAGAAACACGAGGAGGAGCAGGUGGAAGAGAAGGAAGUGGAGAGUCACGUGGGGUAGGCAAAUAGCCAGCAGUGUCUCCGUCUCGUGUCUCUUUCAUAGUUGUCCCGUGCUCUCGUGCUCUGCUCUGAGCUGAUGUAGGCUCAUGUGUGCCGUCCAUUGAGGAAAGCGAAAGUGAGGAAGACAACCGAUUGUACAGCAUCACUUACGACCAAGUACCAUGUCUUCAGAAGUGGGAAGCACUGAGCGUGAACACGUAUCGACAACCUACAGCUUCACGGACUUCCGUAAGAUGAAUACGUGGAAGCACACGUGGCACAUCAGAAGCUACGCUCAUCAAAAGCAGGACAUUGGAGACCGAUAUAUUGAGAGCCCCGAGUUCCCGCCGGAUGAUGAUAGCCCAUAUAAGUGGUGUAUUAGGUACUAUCCAAGGGUAAAAACGGUUUGCGGACAGCAAUAUGUGCACAUCUACUUAAUUCUGAGGCGCACGCCUCCAGAUGUGACAUGUGUAAAAGCGAUAUUCAGGUUUUUGCUUCAGACUGGAUAUGGCCCGUUGCACGACUUGGAAUGCAACGCUAGAAUUGAAGAUUUCAGAAUUGAUAACACAGUGUGUUGCAGUCUUUACUUGCAGCACUCGUUCGAGGUAAAGAACGACGCACUCACUGUGAUUUGCGAAGUCUCCCGCGUAUGUAAUGUCACCGAGUUUUGCGAUGCAUGAGUUAGCGUGGAUGCUCAUAGGAAAGUUAGUCAUCUGGAGGUGGGCUGCAUGACUCGACUCACGCAGAAAUAGUCAGCCGCGAUCUGUGGUUCACUAAUAGAGACUUUGUGGGAGGUUAGCACGUUCUUUAUCUGUGUUACUACUGUGUUUGUUCUGGUGCGUAUUCAUAUGCCUGGACAUUUCUAAGUUCCAUGCGAGUGGAUUCGCGUGAGGAAGGUUACAUCAUGUGUCUCUGGUCCAGCGGCAGAAACGCAGUGCGAGGCUAGCAUGUUUUAUGUUCCAGCUGUUGUAUCCCUAUUUCUUCAUUACUGUUUUUGUAGUAUUCGCCCAAUAAAGGCAUCGCUUUCUGUCA